UCGACGAGCUCUCCCAAAUUGAUUUUAUGCUUGCAUAAAUGAUUUUUGGAUUCGGAGCGAGUGGCGAACUGGUGAGUAACACGUGGGUAACCUGCCCCGAAGCGGGGGAUAACAUUUGGAAACAAGUGCUAAUACCGCAUAAUUAGUUGGAACCGCAUGGUUCCAACUUGAAAGAUGGCUCUGCUAUCACUUUGGGAUGGACCCGCGCCGUAUUAGUUAGUUGGUGAGAUAAAAGCCCACCAAGACGAUGAUACGUAGCCGACCUGAGAGGGUAAUCGGCCACAUUGGGACUGAGACACGGCCCAGACUCCUACGGGAGGCAGCAGUAGGGAAUCUUCCACAAUGGACGAAAGUCUGAUGGAGCAACGCCGCGUGAGUGAUGAAGGUUUUCGGAUCGUAAAACUCUGUUGUUAAAGAAGAACAAGUGUUAGAGUAACUGUUAACACUUUGACGGUAUUUAACCAGAAAGCCACGGCUAACUACGUGCCAGCAGCCGCGGUAAUACGUAGGUGGCAAGCGUUGUCCGGAUUUAUUGGGCGUAAAGCGAGCGCAGGCGGUUUUGUAAGUCUGCUGUGAAAGCCCUCAGCUCAACUGAGGAAGUGCAGUGGAAACUACAAAACUUGAGUACAGAAGAGGAAAGUGGAACUCCAUGUGUAGCGGUGAAAUGCGUAGAUAUAUGGAAGAACACCAGUGGCGAAGGCGGCUUUCUGGUCUGUUACUGACGCUGAGGCUCGAAAGCAUGGGUAGCGAACAGGAUUAGAUACCCUGGUAGUCCAUGCCGUAAACGAUGAAUACUAGGUGUUGGAGGGUUUCCGCCCUUCAGUGCCGCAGCUAACGCAUUAAGUAUUCCGCCUGGGGAGUACGACCGCAAGGUUGAAACUCAAAGGAAUUGACGGGGGCCCGCACAAGUGGUGGAGCAUGUGGUUUAAUUCGAUGCUACGCGAAGAACCUUACCAGCUCUUGACAUCUUCUGCCAACCCAAGAGAUUGGGCGUUCCCUUCGGGGACAGAAUGACAGGUGGUGCAUGGUUGUCGUCAGCUCGUGUCGUGAGAUGUUGGGUUAAGUCCCGCAACGAGCGCAACCCUUAUUAUUAGUUGCCAGCAUUUAGUUGGGCACUCUAGUGAGACUGCCGGUGAUAAACCGGAGGAAGGUGGGGACGACGUCAAAUCAUCAUGCCCCUUAUGAGCUGGGCUACACACGUGCUACAAUGGAUGGUACAACGAGUCGCGAAACCGCGAGGUCAAGCUAAUCUCUUAAAGCCAUUCUCAGUUCGGAUUGCAGGCUGCAACUCGCCUGCAUGAAGUGGAAU
rnacentral:rRNA from 2 species